rnacentral:rRNA from 1 species
GCAAGUCGAGCGAGAAAGCACUUCGGUGUGAGUAGAGCGGCGGACGGGUGAGUAACGCGUAGGAAUCUACCCAGUAGCGGGGGACAACAUGUGGAAACGCAUGCUAAUACCGCAUACGCCCUAAGGGGGAAAGGGGGCUUCGGCUCCCACUAUUGAUGAGCCUGCGUAAGAUUAGCUAGUUGGUAGGGUAAAGGCCUACCAAGGCGACGAUCUUUAGCUGGUCUGAGAGGAUGAUC